rnacentral:tRNA from 1 species
UGCGGCGUGGAGCAGCUCGGUCAGCUCGUCAGGCUCAUAACCUGAAGGUCGCCGGUUCGAAUCCGGCCGCCGCACCCA